rnacentral:rRNA from 1 species
GAUGAAUGCUGGCGGCGUGCCUAACACAUGCAAGUCGAGCGGCAGCGAGGGGUGCUUGCACCCUGUCGGCGAGCGGCGAACGGCUGAGUAACGCGUAGGAAUUUGCCCCAAAGUGAGGAAUAACUGCCCGAAAGGGUAGCUAAUGCCGCAUAUGGUCUUCGGAUUAAAGGAUUUAUCCGCUUUGGGAGAAGCCUGCGUUGGAUUAGGUUGUUGGUAGGGUAAUGGCCUACCAAGCCGACGAUCCAUAGCUGGUCUGAGAGGAUGAUCAGCCAGACUGGAACUGAGACACGGUCCAGACUCCUACGGGAGGCAGCAGUGAGGAAUCUUCCACAAUGGGCGAAAGCCUGAUGGAGCAACGCCGCGUAAGGAUGAAGGCCUUCGGGUUGUAAACUUCUUUUAUGAGUGAAGAAUAUGACGGUAACUCAUGAAUAAGCACCGGCUAACUACGUG